rnacentral:lncRNA from 1 species
CACAGACUUAAAUUGUUUCAUUUUGAACUAAACUCGAAAUCUAAGAUAUUUGAAAGGACACCAAUUAAGUAGUAUUGUUCCUUUUUCUGUGAUACAAGUAUAAACUGGCAAUGAAUGUCUGCUUUAGGCCAGGCAUACUAGCUCUGAAAUAAAAGAUGGUACUGCUACAAUUGAACUGGUUUUAGUCUAGCUCCACUCAAUCAACAACUAAAUUCUUUACCUUCUCUUCUGUAGGGGCAACAAGAAGUGACUGUGUUUCUCCAUGACACAUUUGUAGCAAUAUGAAAUUUAUGUUUCAAGUGUCAGGAUGACAGACAGACCUACUGCCUCUUCUUGUUUCUCCUUAAGCACCUCCGAUGGUUGGGCAACUCUACCUUGUGAGAGUUCCUUUAUGAAAUACAGUUAUAUUGGAAGCAAUUGCCCACAGUCUUGAGGAAGAAAUUAUGUGAAAUGCCUGGUAACCACAUAUCUAGACAGAGCACUGCAGACAGAUCUGCACACAACCCAGGAGAUGUUGACAGAACAUUAAUAGGUGAAACACCUUCAACUUGUAAUUGUUUGAAAGAGAAGACCUCCAUGAACUUUUGGAUUUAUUUGCCUCCCACGUCAUUCUGGUGCUAUUUAUUGGGCUUGUGAUGCUGAAGAAAGUGAUCUGAUUUUCCUGGAUCUGUAUGAAUAAUGUUAUAGGAGAAAUCCUUCACAUGCAAUCAACCUCCUUUUAAAGUCUCACAUGUGAUCUGUGCCUUAGAGAGAUGCUGAAAUGGACAUGGAGUUUUUAACACCUCUGUAUCGCCUAGAUUCUGGAGUUACUUUUUUUGUGGUUUUUAUACACACAAGAUAUUAAUCCCAACGCUUUCAAAGAAAAAUAGAAAAUAAAGAUUUUAAGAAGAAAAAAUUUGCA